UCCGCCGAGCAGCAGCCCUCCUCUCCGUCGCCGUACCCCCUAGGCCCUAAUGCUAGCGACGAGGCACCCUGAUCCCCGCCUCCCAUCGUCGAGCUCGCUGCCCCCUCUCCCAUACCUCGUCACUCUCUCCCGCUCCACCCCCUCCUACUCAUCCACUCCACGCACUCCUAACCGCCUUCUACUUUAGAUCUGGAUCUUGGGUGUUGACCACAUGGGGGGCUGCUUUUUUUUUUGUUGCUUCUGGGUUGCAGGCUCACCCGAGUGCAAGCACGUGCGGCGCCAAGUCCGUCCUCCAUGCCAUCAAGAUCACGCAGACAACCAAUGGUGGUCCCCUCCGACUACGCCAACAUAUUGUUCUGCGGCAUCUAAAGGCUAUUCGUGGAGCUGGCUAACGCGUGCGACAUUCUCGCUGGUGCUUCUCGCUAGCUCCUCGCUACUUGUGCCCUCCAGCAUCCGGAUUAGUGGUCAGCCAGUGGCCGUAGGCGCAUGCACCGAAUGGCUCCCUUGUUGGCGUUGUGUCAGACCUCUAGGUGAUUUAAAGGGUUAAAGAACUAGAAGUUAGAAUAGAAGAGAAGCCUCGCAGAAAAGAAAUCAUUGUAGCCAAAUGUGCUGCCACAACACUCAUCAAAACUGAUAGGUGGUGAAAAAGAAUUCUUUGCUUAGUUGCUGCCGCUGGUUCAUACUCUUGGUGAAACCUAUCUUUUGUUUUUUUUCUGGUCCAUUUUGUUGUCUUUGGUCCUUCAAUGUUAGAUUGCUAGUUCUGAUUCAUGGAAAACACCGCAUGUGAUCCAUUAUUAUGGUGUCAUGAUGUUGGAUGCAAAUAUUAUUGAUAUGAAGUUAUAAUUUGGGCUGUAA